CUGCAGAUGGAAUUGACUGAGCUCUCAGUAGAUGACAUGUUAAAGUCGUUGUUAGAUACUAAGCAAGAUACCAUUGAAAUAUGAAAAAUUCAGUGGAAUAUCUACGCCUUUGGCAUCAUGCCUCCAAGAUGCUUUCUUGCUUUUCAACCACUUACUGCUGUGAAUCUGCAUUCUCCUAACCUAACCGAAAUCAAGACACCCUUAAGGUGGACAAGUGGCUGAUGCCCAUCUAGAGGAUCAACAGUGGCCCUCUGUGCUGUAACCAAAUACUCAAAUGCUUUCCAACAAAAAGCAGACACAACAAAGUCAUUAAAAGAUUAUUGGAUGUUAGAAUUUCUAAAAGAAAAGAGAAGGUACAACCACAAGUGUCCCCUGGAACUGAUCUCUUCCUUAAACCAUGGGAAGUCCAAGACAUCCAACUGAAACUAGCUUCACUGCAAAAUAAAGCAGAGAUCAAGCUUUUCAAUACAAAGCCCAGAUCAAGCUUCUUCAACACAAAAAGCCGGCAGCCUCAACAAAAUCCCAGGAAGCGGAAUUCAAGCAGUGAAAGAUAAUGUUUUGUUGAAGUUGUCAUUGUUCACCCUUCAAAAAUGUAAGCUGUAAUUCCGAACCAAAACCUAAGUUACUGUUUUUGGCAUUUUGUGAUUUAUUGUAGCAUUAUC